AAAGAAUGAAAAAGACAAUGAAGAAAAGCAAAUGAAUGAAGUUUCAAAAGAAGCACAUCACCCAACCAUUGGAGAAUCUGAAGAACAGCCAAAUGAAAGAGAGUUAGAUGGAAAGGAGUUAAUGGAAACAAGCCUCAAAUUAGUUGAAGACAUCCUCAAAAUUCGAGAGG